GACGAACGCUGGCGGCGUGCUUAACACAUGCAAGUCGAACGGAAAGGCCCUGCUUUUGUGGGGUGCUCGAGUGGCGAACGGGUGAGUAACACGUGAGUAACCUGCCCUUGACUUUGGGAUAACUUCAGGAAACUGGGGCUAAUACCGGAUAGGAGCUCCUGCUGCAUGGUGGGGGUUGGAAAGUUUCGGCGGUUGGGGAUGGACUCGCGGCUUAUCAGCUUGUUGGUGGGGUAGUGGCUUACCAAGGCUUUGACGGGUAGCCGGCCUGGGAGGGUGGCCGGCCACAUUGGGACUGAGGUACGGCCCAGACGGCUACGGGAGACAGCAGUGGGGAAUAUUGCACAAUGGGCGGAAGCCUGAUGAAGCAACGCCGCGUGCGGGAUGACGGCCUUCGGGGUGUAAACCGCUUUCGCCUGUGACGAAGCGUGAGUGACGGUAAUGGGUAAAGAAGCACCGGCUAACUACGUG
rnacentral:rRNA from 1 species